rnacentral:rRNA from 1 species
UACGGAGGGGGCAAGUGUUGUUCGGAAUUACUGGGCGUAAAGGGCGCGCAGGCGGCUUGGCAAGUCGAGUGUGAAAUACCUCAGCUUAACUGAGGAACGGCGCUCGAAACUACCUCGCUUGAGGGCGGGAGAGGGAAGUGGAACUCUCGGUGUAGGGGUGAAAUCUGUAGAUAUCGAGAGGAACACCGGUGGCGAAGGCGGCUUCCUGGCCAGUACCUGACGCUGAGGCGCGAAAGCGUGGGGAGCAAACAGG